CGUAGCUCAGUGGUGGAGCGCCCGGCUAAUAACCGGGAGGUCGGGGGUUCAAAUUCCCUGGGUCUA
rnacentral:tRNA from 1 species